rnacentral:misc_RNA from 1 species
GAUGAAGAACGUAGCGAAAUGCGAUAAGUAGUGUGAAUUGCAGAAUUCAGUGAAUCAUCGAAUCUUUGAACGCACAUUGCGCCUUCUAGUAUUCUGGGAGGUAUGCCUGUUUGAGCGUCAUUAAACCUCUCUCAAGUAUGAUUACUUGGAUGUGAAGGAAGAGUACCUUAAACUUAAGGAGUGUUCUCCUUUGAAAUUGAUUAGCAGAUGGUAAUGUUAUUAAAUCCCUGAUGUUGUAAGAAAUAACAGUGGUUUUGUAGACUAUUAUCUAGCUUUAAAUUAUAAUUUUUAUUAUGGUUGACCUCAAAUCAGGUAAGGAUACCCGCUGAACUUAAGCAUAUCAAUAAGCGGAGGA